AUUGAACGCUGGCGGAAUGCUUUACACAUGCAAGUCGAGCGGCAGCACGGGGGUAACCCUGGUGGCGAGCGGCGAACGGGUGAGUAAUACAUCGGAACAUGCCCAGUCGUGGGGGCUAACACUUCGAAAGAAGUGCUAAUACCGCAUACGUCCUGAGGGAGAACGCGGGGGAUCGCAAGACCUCGCGCGAUUGGAGUGGCCGAUGUCAGAUUAGCUAGUUGGUGGGGUAAAGGCCUACCAAGGCAACGAUCUGUAGCUGGUCUGAGAGGAUGAUCAGCCACACUGGGACUGAGACACGGCCCAGACUCCUACGGGAGGCAGCAGUGGGGAAUUUUGGACAAUGGGGGCAACCCUGAUCCAGCCAUUCCGCGUGAGUGAAGAAGGCCUUCGGGUUGUAAAGCUCUUUCGGCAGGAACGAAACGGUGAGCUCUAACAUAGCUUGCUAAUGACGGUACCUGAAGAAGAAGCACCGGCUAACUACGUG
rnacentral:rRNA from 1 species